GAUGAACGCUGGCGGCGUGCCUAAUACAUGCAAGUCGAGCGAACGGACGAUACGCUUGCUUCUCUGAUGUUUGCGGCGGACGGGUGAGUAACACGUGGAUAACCUACCUGUAAUACUGGUAUAACUUCGAGAAACCGGAUCUAAUACCAUAUAAUCUUUUGAACCGUAUUGUUCAAAGGUGAAAUUCGGUCGUGCUGUCACGUAUAGAUGGAUCCGCGCUGCAUUGGCUAGUUGUGAAGUUAACGGCUUACCAAGGCAACGAUGCAUAGACGACCUGAGAGAGUGGUAGGCCGCACUGGAACUGAGCCACGGACAAGACGCCUACGAGAGGCAGCAGAAGCGAAUGGGACGCAGCAGGCGAAAGUAUUACGGAGCGACGCCGAGUGAGAGACGAAGGCCUUCGGAUCGUAAAGAUCUCUUACUAGGGAAGAACAGAUGUGUAAGUAAAUGUGCACAUAGUGACGGUAACUGAUAAGAAAGCAACGGCUAACUACGUG
rnacentral:rRNA from 1 species